rnacentral:lncRNA from 1 species
AAAAAAAUGAAGUUUUCCUCACCCUUAUAAAAGUAGGCUGAGAGUACUAUACAAGGAGAAGGUAAGUGCAGAACUAGGUCUUCCUUCUCCUGUCUUCUACAUAGUAGUGAAGUUCCAGGUUUUGUUACAGCUGGAAGGAGCACAGAUCACCUCCAGAACCACGUCAACCAAAGCAGAGUGAAUGGAGACAACUAGAGGGCUGCUUUCCUCUGCUCUGAAUACAAACAGUAGUGUGAGUGCACACUAAAUGAUAGUCUACCU